rnacentral:rRNA from 1 species
GACGAGCCACCCGAACGUUAUUCGGAAUUACUGGGCUUAAAGGGUGCGUAGGCGGUGCAGCAAGUCGGGAGUGAAAUACCUCAGCUUAACUGAGGAACUGCUUUCGAUACUGCUGUGCUUGAGUGAGACAGAGGUAAGCGGAACUUAGGGUGGAGCGGUGAAAUGCGUUGAUAUCUACAGGAACUCCGGUGGCGAAAGCGGCGUGCUGGACCUUUUCUGACGCUGAGGCGCGAAAGCUAGGGAGCAACGGG